AUGUUUGUGCCGCAAGGAGAUGCCCUGGUCCUUGAACCCUUACGAAGAUCAAACUCUUAUCAUGGUGACGGGUUCUGCGAUGCACCAUCUUUUGACCUCGGCAUAGAUGGUGAUGCUCCAGCACCUGCUCCAGCAGUAGAUACAGCGGAAGCCGGUGUGAUUAGCAUCGAUGAGUGUGAGUUAGACCCAGCAGCUGUGAAUGAAGGAUGUGAUGCUGCUGAUGUUGGCAAGGCAAUAGCUCAAGAAAUAGAUGUUGGUUCACCAGAGAAUUGCCACACCCCGAUAUGCGCAGAACCAGAACUUGGCACGAGCACAUCUCAAAGGUCUCCAUUCAUAGACUACAACAAGAACAAGACUUUCAGCACCAAUGAGGUAGUGAACAAGCUUUACGCUGCCCUCUUGUACUGGGUCAGGCAUCACAAAGGAGCAAAUGAUGGAGCUACCAGCCCUGAGAUAAUUAGGUAUGGUGCUUUCUACAUUUCUUUAAAGGAGUUAGUUGAUUCGAUGAAGCCGGUUCAAUGGUUGUCAAAAAUUGUUAUUGAGACUGGAAUCUUGCACAUCAUGGAUAACUUACCAGAAGGGUCAAAGAAGGUUGUUAUGCCACUGAGGUUUUCUAUAAAAUUACAGCAAGGGAUCCACAAUGUGAAUGAGAUGAACAAGAUGUUUGAUUACAAGAACCGUCUCGACAAGAAAGACUUAGUCAUGCUGCCAGUGCUCGAGUGCGCAGAUGUAACCGAUAAGGACGGAGGGAGGCAUUAUUGGGUCUUCAGUGUCAACUUGAGGGACGGACGCUUCGAAGUUCUUGAUUCAAGCAGGACGCUGGACAACAUUGAGCUGAUGAACAACACCUCUACCAUUGCGGGGGCAGUACGCCAGCUAUGGAGGAAGCAUUAUCCAAAGUUCAGCAUUGAGCACUUCCAGAUUAUUGACAUUGACGUACCGAAGCAGCUUGGCAAUAAUGAGUGUGGGUUGUUCGCACUGCUUAAUGCCACCGAGUGGAAUGGUAGCCAACUGCCCAACUACGACCCCAAGGAAGUACUCAACAUCAGGAAGAAGCUGACGUAUGAUUGGGUCACCAGCGUGCACAACACCGCCCCAUGGAGGAAGUUGCUGAGAUACGACAAGGAGUAG
rnacentral:rRNA from 1 species